rnacentral:pre_miRNA from 1 species
UCAUUCGGAUUCGCCAUCAUACGUCCAGCCGUGCAUUUGAUAUGCAUAUAUAUGCAUCACGAACCACGGUUGGGCUGUAUGAUGGCGAUACCGAUUGG